CAGUCAGUUGCCAUUAAAUUAAGGAACUCCGAGCCUUGGGCGAAAAAUAUGAAGGUUUCUUCUGUGCUUUUGGUCGCUUUGAUAAUCCUGGCUGGUUUUGAGGUAGAAGAUGGGAUUGCCUGGUUAUUUGAUGGUUCGGUUCCAGACGACAAAAAUUUGGAAAGAUGUACGAAAUACAAGUUGCGUAAUCCAUGUUCAAACGACGCAGACUGCCAAGGAGGAUGUGAUGGUCAUGGUUUAACUUUGAAAUGUCACAAUGGUAUAUGUGACGUGUAUUGACUUGACAGACUUGAUUACUGUGAAAAAGUAUUCAUGUAACUGAUGUAAGGACGAAAAAUAAAAGCGAAUAUAUAAAUUGAGGGAUAAAUAAAAUCAUGCAAAUAUA